rnacentral:rRNA from 1 species
GGGGAAUAUUGGGCAAUGGGCGCAAGCCUGACCCAGCAACGCCGCGUGAAGGAAGAAGGCUUUCGGGUUGUAAACUUCUUUUGUCGGGGACGAGUAGAAGACGGUACCUGGCGAAUAAGCCACGGCUAACUACGUGCCAGCAGCCGCGGUAAUACGUAGGUGGCAAGCGUUGUCCGGAUUUACUGGGUGUAAAGGGCGUGUAGCCGGGAAGGCAAGUCAGAUGUGAAAUCCACGGGCUUAACUCGUGAACUGCAUUUGAAACUACUUUUCUUGAGUAUCGGGGAGGCAAUCGGAAUUCCUAGUGUAGCGGUGAAAUGCGUAGAUAUUAGGAGGAACACCAGUGGCGAAGGCGGAUUGCUGGACGACAACUGACGGUGAGGCGCGAAAGCGUGGGGAGCAAAC